GACGAACGCUGGCGGCGUGCUUAACACAUGCAAGUCGAACGGUGAAGCGCCUUCCUUUUUGGUGGGUGUGGAUGAGUGGCGAACGGGUGAGUAACACGUGAGUAACCUGCCCCCUUCUUCUGGAUAACCGCAUGAAAGUGUGGCUAAUACGGGAUAUUCUGGGUCUGUCGCAUGAUGGGUCUGGGAAAGAUAUUGUUUCGGUGGGGGAUGGGCUCGCGGCCUAUCAGCUUGUUGGUGGGGUGAUGGCCUACCAAGGCGGUGACGGGUAGCCGGCCUGAGAGGGUGGACGGUCACACUGGGACUGAGACACGGCCCAGACUCCGACGGGAGGCAGCAGUGGAGAAUAUUGCACAAUGGGCGCAAGCCUGAUGCAGCGACGCCGCGUGAGGGAUGGAGGCCUUCGGGUUGUGAACCUCUUUCGCCAGUGAAGCAGGCCUGCCUCGUUUGUGGGUGGGUUGACGGUAGCGGGAUAAGAAGCGCCGGCUAACUACGUG
rnacentral:rRNA from 1 species